CCGGCGAGCGGCAGACGGGUGAGUAGUGUCUGGGAAACUGCCUGAUGGAGGGGGAUAACUACUGGAAACGGUAUCUAAUACCGCAUAACGUCACAAGACCAAAGAGGGGGACCUUCGGGCCUCUUGCCAUCAUAUGUGCCCAGAUGGGAUUAUCUAGUAUGUGGGGUAGUGGCUCACCUACGCCACUAUCCCUAUCUGGUCUGAGAAGAUGACCACCCACUCUGGAACUGACACACGGUCCACACUCCUACGGGAGGCAGCAGUGGGGAAUAUUGCACAGUGGGCGCAAGCCUGAUGCACCCGUGCCGCGUGUAUGAA
rnacentral:rRNA from 1 species